UAUCUGAGUUUCGAUCCUGCCAGUAGUCAUAUGCUUGCUCUCAAAGAUUAAGGCCAUGCAUGUCUAAGUACAAACCUUAAUACGGCUGAAACCGCGAUAUGGCUCAUUAAAUCAGCUAUGCGCUUCCUAUAGAUUCGUCUCAUCCUACUUUCGGAUAAACUGUGGGAAAAAUCUAUGAGCUAAUACUGACCUUACAAGCCCUGACCUCACGGGCAGGGGGCGCAAUUUAUUAGAUCAAAAACCAAUCGGUUCUUGCCCCGUCUGCUUGCCCGUGACUACUGAGAUAACUUUUGUUGCUGAUCGCAUGGCCGUCUGCGCUGUGCGACGUACUUCAAGCUAGUCUGCCCUAUCAACUAUACGAUGGUAGGGAAUCAUGCCGUACCAUGGUUAUUAAACGGGUCAACGGGCAAUCAGGGUUCCGAUUCCCGGAGAGGGAGCCUUGAGAAACGGCUACCACACUAAGCGAAGGCAGCAGAUGCGCUCCGCAAAUUACCCACUCCCGGCACGGGAGUAUGACGAACAAAUAACCGAUACGCGGACUCUUUUGAUGGCCCGUUAAUUGGAAUGAGUACACUUUAAAUCCGCUUAACAAGUAUCUAUGGAGGGCAAGUCUGGGUGCCAGCAGCCGCGCGUAAUUCCGCUCCAAUAGCGUAUAUGUAAUGUUGCCUGGCAUGUUAAAAAGCUCGUAGGUUGCGAGCUGAGGAACUCGAAUUGGUGCGUGCACCAUACGGUUGUUACUGCCGAAUUUCGCCUACACUAUCGGUGCUCGGCUCUUGGUGUUCUUAAAUUGAAUGCCCUGAGUGCCCCCCACGCCCAGGCAAGUUUACUUUAAAAAAUUAGAGAUGCUCAAAGCAGGCCAUUAGCCUCGCCGAAUACUUAAGCAUGCCGAAUACAUGGAAUAGGACUUCGGUUCUAUUUGUUGGUUUUCGGAACGAGAACAGGUGGGCUAAUGAUUAAGCAGAGACAGGACGGGGGCAUUCGUAACUGCGGUGUUAGAGGUGAAAUUCUAUGAGAUCGCGCCAAGGACGAACAACUGCGAAUAGCAUUUGCCAAGAAUGUUUUCAUUAAUCUAAGCAACGAAAGUCAUGAGCCGUUCGAAAGACGAUCAGAUACCGUCCUAUCUGACCAUAAACGAUGGCCAACUGGGGCGCAUCCGAGAUUUCCGUUUGCUUAUUGACCUUCGGCGCAGCCUCCGGGGAAACCAAAGUUUUUAGGUUCGCGGGAAGUAUUGGUUGCCAAAGCUGGACUUAACAGGAAUUUGACGAAGGCACCACCAGGAGUGGAGCCUGCGCGCUUAAUUUGACUCAACACUGGAAAACUUCACCCCGGCCCGGACACUGUUAUGAUUGACAGAUGAUGAGCUCUUCUUGAUUCGGUGCGGUGGUGUGCUGUAUGCAUGGCCGUCUUACGUUGGGUGGAGCGAUUUCUUGUUAAUUCGAUAACGAACGAGACUCUAGCCUGCUAAAUAGUACGCCGAUACCUUUUCGUUCGGUUGCUGGACUAUCUUAUAGGGACAAGCGUGUCUUGAAGACGCACGAGAUUGAGCAAUAACAGGUCUUGUGAUGCCCUUAGAUGUUCGGGGCCGGCACGCGCGGCUACACUGAAGGGCGGACAGCGAGUUUUUUUCCUGGUUCGAAAGAACGGGUAAUCUGUUGAAUUCCCCCUCCCUUCGUGACAGGGAUCGGGGCUUGCAAUUUAUUCCCGUGAACGAGGAAUUCCCAGUAAGCGCCAAGUCAUCAGCUUGCCGUUGAUUACGUCCCUGCCCUUUGUACACACCGCCCGUCGCUACUACCGAUUGAAUGGUUUUAGCAAGGUCCUCGGAUUGGCUGCCGACUUGGUGGCAACACUAGUCGGAUACUGAAAAAGAAGAUCAAACUUGAUCAUUUAGAGGAAGUAAAAGUCGUACAAGGUUUCGCGUAGGUGAACCUGCGGAAGGAUCAUUA
rfam:Macrostomum lignano unitig_42802, whole genome shotgun sequence.